ACUUCAUCACGUUGCAUAGUUCGAUAGCGCUCUUCAAGCACCUGGAUUGCAGAGUCCAGUUCCUCAGCAGAUUUUAUUUGAUUAAUCAAUUCUUCAUUCGUACUUUUUAAAGCUUCUGUCUGAUUGUACAAAUCCUGGUUCUGUUGAUUAAAAGUAGCCUUUAAUUCUUUCUCUGGUUCACUUUCUUCGGGUGAUUCAUCAAGGUACAAAUGAUAUGUGCGAACAAGGUAGUCAAACAAAACUUUGUCCACGAGAUGAUCGUCAAGGCUAUUUUGUUCUACGGUAUAAACCAUAGCAACUGCCUUUUCAGUGCAUUGAAUUAGUGAAACAACCCAGUGAAGCAUACCCAAUAUAGCAGGCCAUACAUGAGGAGAGCCUAUAGCGACAAGCCUAGAGCGUGAGAUGGAAUCAAGGAACGGAUAAUUGAGUGCUUUUAAACAAGUAGUAACGUCUUCUUCAUAGCGUGCGCCAAAUCUAAAAUUUGGGUCCAACUUAUUAUACAAAUGUUUGAAGAUGGCAGCAAACUCUCUCGUUGAUGGCAUGAAACGAUUAUUUAAACCCAAUGGCUGUGAAAAUCCAGAUUCUAAUAAAUAGUUGACGACUUGCGUAGCGCAUUCUUGUUGGUAUCUUCUGUCUGACAAUGGUCUUGGAUCUUUUAUAGAAGUAAUAUUAGGUGUUUGGGAAAUAAAAGAUGCAUUGGAAACGCGCACGCUGGAGCGACGGGUACUAUGCAACAAGAUUAGAACAAAUUCAGUAAAUAUUAUCAUACUUAGGAGCCAAACUUGGGCGCAUUGUAGGGGUUAACACACGAGAAGACAAACCGUCAGGAUC